AAAAAACACAAAAAUCUAACAUUUUCUACCACACUUCCUAAAACCUAAAACCAAUUCCCCAUCUCCAAUCUCUCACAUCUGAUUUUCCCCUCCCCCGUCGCCACAAUCUGCCCCACCGCGCCCCGCCCCUCCCACCGUCGCGAUCUGCUUCGCCGUACCACCUUCAAACCUGAAACCCUAAUCUAGCGCGCCUCCACAAUCUGCACACACUUGCGCCCCUCUUCUUCUCUCCUCUGAGGCGCGACCAGACCCCGUCGCACGGCCUUCAGCCGUCGUCGCGUCACCCCGCUCGCCGUAGCGCCGUCGCGACCAGAGAAGUCCGCCAGUUGCGCGCCUGGAGCAGGGGACGAUACAGCCAGGUUUAGAUGAUCUUUGAUGCGUAGUGAGUAACAAUGGUUGCCUUGCGUCUGGCACCACCGCCAUCAAUGACUAUCCCGCCGGACAUUACUUGGCUCCGAAACAGUUCUUGAUCACCCAUGAAGGCCACCAAGAAAUUGAUUUGUGCCAAUUUACCAUGAAUUGCUACCUUUUUUAUCAAGCUCAAAAGCAAGACAACAAAAUGGAGCAUAAGAAUUCUCGAAAAUGUUCAUAGCAAUGGAGACUACUGCAGCACCAGUUACUGCAGCUCUACUGCCAAAAUGCAUUUUGUUGGGCUUGGCAUUGUUCUGGACUAAGCAAUAAGAUAACUUACCACCAAUAACAGAGUUCAUUUGGGUGACAAGGGAGCUCCGUCCGACCCCUAGCCCCACAACUCCAUAUGUGUAACCUUUGUAAUUUGUGUGUGUACGAGAGUCAGAUUGAGAAUGAGGAUGAUGAAUGAAGAGAGCUAAUAGUUUAGUGUGUUUUAUUAAGUAUUAACUAUUAAGACUAUGUUUUAUUUGCUACUCCUAUUAUUUGGUUAACUUUAUUAUGAAUUAGUAGUGUUUUGCUUA